UACAGAGGUCUCAAGCGUUGUUCGGAUUCAUUGGGCGUAAAGGGUGCGUAGGUGGCGCGCUAAGUCAGGUGUGAAAUUUCGGAGCUUAACUCCGAAACUGCAUUUGAUACUGGCGUGCUUGAGGACUGGAGAGGAGACUGGAAUUCAUGGUGUAGCAGUGAAAUGCGUAGAGAUCAUGAGGAAGACCAGUGGCGAAGGCGGGUCUCUGGGCCGUAACUGACGCUGAGGAGCGAAAGCGUGGGGAGCGAACAGG
rnacentral:rRNA from 1 species